UACGUAGGGUGCGAGCGUUGUCCGGAAUUAUUGGGCGUAAAGAGCUCGUAGGCGGCUUGGCAAGUCGGGUGUGAAACCUCCAGGCUCAACCUGGAGUCGCCACCCGAUACUGCCAUGGCUAGAGUCCGGUAGGGGCCCACGGAAUUCCUGGUGUAGCGGUGAAAUGCGCAGAUAUCAGGAGGAACACCGGUGGCGAAGGCGGUGGGCUGGGCCGGCACUGACGCUGAGGAGCGAAAGCGUGGGGAGCGAACAGG
rnacentral:rRNA from 1 species